AUUCAGCUGACGAGUCGUAAAUAGGACGGAACACGAGUCGUGCAU
rnacentral:hammerhead_ribozyme from 1 species